rnacentral:rRNA from 1 species
UACGUAGGGUGCAAGCGUUAAUCGGAAUUACUGGGCGUAAAGCGUGCGCAGGCGGUUAUGUAAGACAGAUGUGAAAUCCCCGGGCUCAACCUGGGAACUGCAUUUGUGACUGCAAGGCUAGAGUACGGCAGAGGGGGAUGGAAUUCCGCGUGUAGCAGUGAAAUGCGUAGAUAUGCGGAGGAACACCGAUGGCGAAGGCAAUCCCCUGGGCCUGUACUGACGCUCAUGCACGAAAGCGUGGGGAGCAAACGGG